GUCUACCAUGGGCAAAGAUCUGUGUUAGACAUGAGGGACAUCAAGACAAAAAGGGUGGUUCAGACUAUCAUGCUAGUCACAAACAUAACAAAGAUAUAAUUCUGAAACAAAAGAUGAAGGUGGAGGGUGAUCUUCCACAGACCUCUACCUUAGGAAUAUGGGAACGGGGUUAUUCCUUGCCUUUGCAAGGUCAAAAAGAAUCACAGAAUUGAGAAAAUCGGGGAAAUUUAGAUUCAGAGAAGUUUUGCUGAUUUAUGGAAAAGGCAGCCCCUGAAGUGAUCCUAAUUAUGAACAGGUUGGAAAUUAGAAGUUAAACAGGAGUUAAACAAAUUUUUCAGUCCUAAAUUGUUUAGAGGCUCUGGUCGAGGACAUGCACCCACCCUCCCAACAAUAAAAAAAAUCAGAUUAAAAUACACAUUUAGUCUGGCUGAUUGUUCUGUGUUGCAAAAGAAGUUGGCACUUGGAGGUAAAGUUGGAACUUUUCUGUGUAAAGAAGUAGCUGUACCACCAGCACGGCUCUGAGGACUAACAUAUUUUCCUCUGCUCUUAGGAAGAAAUCAACCAAGUUCCAAGCAUUUCUUUGCAAGUUUCCAAGGUCUUUCGGUGCUACAAUCCAACAACCAAUAUCCUUUCCUUAAGGUCUGGAGAAGCUUCUGAAGCCUCAUUUCUUAUUGACAAAUUUGGAAAAUCUGGCUUUCUGACAACCCAAGGGUGAUAAAGCCAGCUGUCCAAAGCUUCUCUCAACAUAAGUCUGCAGUGCUUCAGAGGAGAAAGUAAAUAAGAUCUGAAGGGGAUCAGAACAUUUUAUAAUGAAGAUGAAGCAUCUAAAUGGAAAGCAGGAAGCAAAAACAAAGAAAACAAUUAAGAAAACUUCCCCAAAACCAGGAUUCCCAAAUUCUAAGCAGAGCUAUCCAAUCAUAUAUAUGAAUUUACGUUCAAGAUGCAUUGGAAAAGCAAAUAUCAGUCGUAAUGUGAGAAGCUACCAACUGAAAAGGACACUGUAUACGAAUAAUCUGAACAUAUCUAGCAUUGAAUGUUCAGUGGAAUUUUGGCAGGAAAAGUGCUACACUGGCUUGAAUACAUUCAAAAAUAAGGCUGUCACCUUUUUUUUUGAAAAUGGAAACUAUGAGAUCUUUGUUGAAGAUUUACCUGAAAAUGAAGAGCGAGGUUUGCUGUACUUGGAAUACUUCACCACUAAAAAUUCAUACAGAGGAGAUGCUUUGGUGGUCCUGGCUCCUCAGCCCUCUGACAUUCGUCUUCAGCUGCAUGCCAAUGAUCAGAAUGAUCUUGAGCUUCACAAGCAUGAACACCACCACCAAGCUCAGAGAAAGAAAUUAUUCUUUAUGCAUUCAGAAGGGUCUGGGUUUGUUUCAUUUGAGUCUUUCUAUGCUCGAGGAUUCUAUAUUGGUGUAAAGGAAAAUCGCCUGGAACUUAUGAAGAAAAAAGAAGGUGACGAAGCCUUUAUGUUUAAACUCACUAAGUAAUUGGAUUUGAACUCUUUCGAUGGCUUCUUAGGCUAGGGAAGGUUAGUUGAAUAGAAAUCUAUGAUUUUCUGAGCGUAUAGCCUAAAAACAGACCCUGAGGAGCCUGAGAAUGCCCUCCAUUUACCAACAACAGAGAAAGCCUGGGAUUUUGGAGGGCUGAUUUCCACACUGAUGGGUGGAACCCUUUUUGGGAUCCUUUGGCUAUGGGUUUUUUUUUUACUUUGUUUUCUUUUGCUUUCUUUCUAAUCUUUGCAUGUUCGACAGAUAUAAUCCUGACUCUGUAGAACUACAGUGAAGUUAGAACUAACAGAAGGAAUGUCCUUUACAAAUCAGUGAUGGGUGCAGGCAAGUCCUCUAAAACAACAAACUCUGAUCUUUGAUUUCUUCCACAUCAUCAAGAAAUAUUUCCACACAUAAAGAAACGGUGAUUGGGGUUUCUUAGAGCCAAGGACAAAGCUAAGGCUUUCUCCUAGGAAAUGAGGGCCCAUUUCUAAAAUGCCAUUAAAAACAAUGUUAAGUUCAUAGAAAUAUAUUUUCCUUGAUUCCAUAACACUCCAUUAUAAUAACCAAUAAAGAAGAAUCAAUGGGGGCA
rnacentral:lncRNA from 1 species